CAGCAGCCGCGGUAAUACGUAGGUGGCAAGCGUUGUCCGGAAUUAUUGGGCGUAAAGGGCUCGCAGGCGGUUUCUUAAGUCUGAUGUGAAAGCCCCCGGCUCAACCGGGGAGGGUCAUUGGAAACUGGGAAACUUGAGUGCAGAAGAGGAGAGUGGAAUUCCACGUGUAGCGGUGAAAUGCGUAGAGAUGUGGAGGAACACCAGUGGCGAAGGCGACUCUCUGGUCUGUGACUGACGCUGAGGAGCGAAAGCGUGGGGAGCGAACAGGAUUAGAUACCCCGGUAGUCCCUGUCUCUUAUAC
rnacentral:rRNA from 1 species